rnacentral:rRNA from 1 species
UACAGAGGUCUCAAGCGUUGUUCGGAUUCAUUGGGCGUAAAGCGCGUGUAGGCGGCCAGGUAGGUCGGUUGUGAAAAUUGGAGGCUCAACCUCCAGACGUCGAUCGAAACCAUCUGGCUAGAGUCCGGAAGAGGAGGAUGGAAUUCCUGGUGUAGCGGUGAAAUGCGCAGAUAUCAGGAAGAACACCGAUGGCGAAGGCAGUUCUCUGGGACGGUACUGACGCUGAGACGCGAAAGCGUGGGGAGCGAACAGG